GUGUCGUCAGCUCGUGUCGUGAGAUGUUGGGUUAAGUCCCGCAACGAGCGCAACCCUCGCCUAGUUGUCACGCAUCUAGUUGGGCACUCUAAUGAGACUGCCGGUGACAAACCGGAGGAAGGUGGGGAUGACGUCAAGUCCUCAUGGCCCCUAUGGGUAGGGCUUCACACGUCAUACAAUGGUCGGUACAGAGGGUUGCCAAGCCGCGAGGUGGAGCCAAUCCCUUAAAGCCGAUCGUAGUCCGGAUCGUAGUCUGCAACUCGACUACGUGAAGUCGGAAUCGCUAGUAAUCGCAGAUCAGCAUGCUGCGGUGAAUACGUUCCCGGGUCUU
rnacentral:rRNA from 1 species